rnacentral:pre_miRNA from 1 species
CUUGUACUCCCUCCGUCCGAAAAAGCUUGUCCCAAGCUUGUUCCUCAAAUGGAUGUAUCUAGCACUAACUUGGUGCUAGAUACAUUCAUUUGAGGGACAAGCUUUUUCGGACGGAGGGAGUAGUUA